rnacentral:lncRNA from 1 species
UUUUUGACGUGUUUCUUUACCGAUGGAUCAUAGGCCGCCUCGCCGCCAUUUUUGUUCCGGCCGGAUCCGUGUGUGCAGGGGGAGUCGCGUGCUGCAAGUUAAGGGUCCCAGCAACUCUGUCGAUGCGGAGGUCACGGCCGCCACCGCCGACCCCGGCGAGGGUACCAGCGCGAGCGGGCCGCCGGCGAUGGACAUUGAGGAGAGCUGGCUCGUUAUCGACGAUGCAGUCGACCACCUGCUGCACCGCGCUGGCGAGCACGGAGCUGUGUUUCAGCCAUCCCCAGUGGCCAGUACCCAUGGCCGCAAGUUCGAGCUGGCAUGCGCUACGUGGAGAAUGAGACGGUUGUCGAGUUCAAAGAGCUAACCUCGGCGGUCGACUUAAGUGACCAGCUGCCGGGACAGAGACUGACCGGGAGAGUUCUGUUGGUGCCUCGUACUUUUCUCUGUUUGUUUCUGUUUUCUGUUCCGCAAGUUUUUGUCAUUGUAACUAGUUGCAGUUGAAUUAGCUUGUUGCAGUUCGUUUAUAUUUUGCUGCAGGGUGUCCCUAAACCGUAAAGAGACGUGAAACGUUGGACGCUAAUGAAUGAGAUACAAGGCACUUUGAUGUAAAGCACAGGCAGAGCGGAAUCGGAAAUGUAUCAGUUAACCAAACCAUUGAAACUGUGUUUGCGUAUUAAAUGACUAUUGAAACUGCGUCUUUCACAUGCUGGUUGCACGACCUUUCUAUAGAAUACGAAAUAACAUAAUCGCACAUAAGACUGUGAAAUAGAAAGCUGCUUGGUAUAAUAGGUCCGUCUGCUCCUUAUGAUGGGUUCCUAUAGCUGGUCUGGC